AAGAAAUGCUCCGCUUUAAAGAGCUUCAGUCCUUCAGGAAAGACAAAGUACUCAAGAGCUGUGGAGAUGGACAUGAGAGACACGUGAAAUCCAUGGCUGGCAUUAACCUGGCCUUCUCCAGCCACGAAUGCUUCAGCAACACCGAAUUACUACCCAGGACAACUCUGUUAUGAUACUUUACAACCUGAGGAGUCUUCAACGAGGACACACUGAUUUGCCCAGUGCAGCCUGAAGGGAACCAAAGCGCUGGACGUGGCUGUCCAACCCCCCCAGCACAUUUCUGCUCACAUCAGAUUAAUAUCAGCACACCUAAACAGACGCUCAAUGAACCAACAGAAGAACAUGCUUUGAAACCACAUCGGGGCUGAUGAAAGCGUGGUUAAACUUCUUCCAAGCAGCACGUGUGAGGGAAAAAAAAAAGGGGCACAUCUGUUAACCUUCUCAUUUAUAUCAGUUAAAAGGAAAGAGCAACAGAGAGAUUAAGACCUCACUCUGCAAUACCACGCAAUAGGAGAUGAUUAGGAAAUAGCAGGAGGUAUAAAAGGCAGAAAACCCUCAGCUGCUGAGCCCAGCUGCCAUCAAAAUGAAGGCGCUCAGACAGAUCCUCCUGCUGCCUCUCUUAGCUGCUCUGGUUUUUGCUGAAGACAACCCGAUAGAAUUCAUGGGUAUGGAACGUAACAUUCUUUGUUGUGGAAUUUAAUUAGCUUUUGCACUAUUUAUUAGGCAACUGAAGAGAAAAAUGUCAAAUGUACCUCUAAGUGCAUCUCAUUUUAGUGUAUUGCUGCAAAAUAUGAGCAUCUGAGUGUGCCAAUAACUGCUGAAGAUCGUAAUAACAACAACAACAAAAUGGCAAUAUAUGACUGGUUAUGGAAAAAUUUUUAACUUAAAAACACAAUUUUGAAGAGAUUUUGCUCCAGAAUGGAAAUGUGCUUGUACAAAUUGAUACUGCAUUGGAGAAAUAGGGCUGAAGUGACUUAGAAAGCGCUGCUUUUUAAAAGAGUUUUGGGUAUUGUGGUGGCUGUGGGAUAAUGAAGCAUUGGUGCCACGUCAGGCAAAGGAGACCUUGUAAUGCUCUUACAGCUCAGAUGUUUCCUACGUGAUCACAGAGGUCUGUCCUAAACCUUUCUUUCCCCUCUGCAGUUCAGCAACAAGUCUGACCUCCUCAGCUGGGACUGCAGACGCUGUAUAGGAAAUGCUUCCUGCUGCUUUAGGCUGUCCUGAACUGGAGAGGAAUUGCUCUUGGUGUUUGGUAGUUACCAAAGGCAUUUUUUUCUCUGCGCUUUGAGCUGUUUUGAUGUUUAGUUUUAAAAUCCACAUCAAUCCACAGCAAAAAUCCACGUUGCAAAGAGGUGGGCUCCUUUUGUUUGCUUAGAAAUCACAGCUUAGUGGUUUUGUUUCAGGCCACUGUGUUUUUUUAUAGGGGAAGAGAAUACCUCACCGUGAAUAUUGACCUCUUCACCUCUUUCCUGUCCUACCUUGCUUUAAGCUGUUUAUUUACUUCUUGCCCCAGCAGUUUCUCUAGGCGUUUGCUCACCUUUGCUGCCACUUUUUGAAGCUUUCCCUCUUUAGCUGUAUCCUUUUAGAGAUGGAGGGCCAGAACUGUGAGCAGCACCAGUCACACAUGUGGUGCUUCAGAAGCUCACAUCUGAAGAUCUCUUUUGAUUCUCUGGGCGUAGGUCCCCAGCUGCCUUCAUGUAAAGGGCUGAAACCCAGAACUAGAUCCAAUGAUCCUCAGGAAAAGAGCAUAGGGGGAAGACAGGGCCUGAGGCGCUU
ensembl:lncRNA